UCCUCAGUAGCUCAGUUGGUAAAGAAUCUGCCUGCAAUGCAGGAGACCCUGGUUCGAUUCCUGGGUUGGGAA
rnacentral:tRNA from 1 species